rnacentral:rRNA from 1 species
GAUGACCAUGCGUAUCAUUAGCUAGUAGGCGAGGUAACGGCUCACCUAGGCAACGAUGAUUAGGGGUCCUGAGAGGGAGAUCCCCCACACUGGUACUGAGACACGGACCAGACUCCUACGGGAGGCAGCAGUGAGGAAUAUUGGACAAUGGUCGAAAGACUGAUCCAGCCAUGCCGCGUGCAGGAUGAAUGCCCUAUGGGUUGUAAACUGCUUUUAUACGGGAAGAACACCACCCACGUGUGGGUGACUGACGGUACCGUAAGAAUAAGGACCGGCUAACUCCGUGCCAGCAGCCGCGGUAAUACGGAGGGUCCAAGCGUUAUCCGGAAUCAUUGGGUUUAAAGGGUCCGUAGGCGGGCUAUUAAGUCAGAGGUGAAAGUUUGCAGCUCAACUGUAAAAUUGCCUUUGAUACUGGUAGUCUUGAGUUAUAGUGAAGUGGUUAGAAUAUGUGGUGUAGCGGUGAAAUGCAUAGAUAUCACAUAGAAUACCAAUUGCGAAGGCAGAUCACUAACUAUAUACUGACGCUGAUGGACGAAAGCGUGGGGAGCGAACGGGAUUAGAUACCCCGGUAGUCCACGCCGUAAACGAUGGAUACUAGCUGUUGGAUUUUUUCAGUGGCUAAGCGAAAGUGAUAAGUAUCCCACCUGGGGAGUACGUUCGCAAGAAUGAAACUCAAAGGAAUUGACGGGGGCCCGCACAAGCGGUGGAGCAUGUGGUUUAAUUCGAUGAUACGCGAGGAACCUUACCAGGGCUUAAAUGGGAAAUGACAGGGGCAGAGACGCCCCCUUCUUCGGACAUUUCUCAAGGUGCUGCAUGGUUGUCGUCAGCUCGUGCCGUGAGGUGUCAGGUUAA